rnacentral:rRNA from 3 species
GGUCCCACCUGACCCCAUGCCGAACUCAGAAGUGAAACGCCGUAGCGCCGAUGGUAGUGUGGGGUCUCCUCAUGCGAGAGUAGGGAACUGCCAGGCA